CGGCACGGGUGAGUAACACGUAUGCAACCUGCCUGCCACAGCCGGAUAAUCGGGAGAAAUUCCGUCUAAUACGGCAUAAUGCAUCGACGGGACAUCCUGUUGGUGCCAAAGGUUAAUUCCGGUGGCGGAUGGGCAUGCGUCGCAUUAGUUAGUUGGCGGUGUAACGGACCACCAAGACGACGAUGCGUAGGGGUCCUGAGAGGAAGGUCCCCCACACUGGUACUGAGACACGGACCAGACUCCUACGGAAGGCAGCAG
rnacentral:rRNA from 1 species